GUGCCUGGCGCGCGGUCUGGUUACACUGCCAAGGGGGACGGGCGAGCUCCGGUUAAACCCGCCCCGCAGCUGAUGUUCUCGGCCCGGCCCGGCCCGGCCCGCGGAGCCCUUCGGCGGGCGGGCGCCCCGCGGGCUUUGACUGCCGGUGUCCUGAGCGCCGGGGUGCAGACUGUGAGGCGGAGGCGGCCCUGCCGCGACAGUUGUUCCAAAUUCAAGACAGAAAAGCUGAUAAAACGCCACCUCAGAACACGUGAGACUAAAGGGAACCGAAAGCUGAUUUCAGCAACAGAGGACGUUACAGGGCUGAGUAUCAGCUCCUGCGCGACCUCUGCGAGACAGCAAAACCGGCUGAGGUUCUCCUGUAAGAAAUGAAGCUCCCACUGAACUGCUGUUUUCUUUCUCAGUCUUCAGAAAGUCAAAUCUGAAGGUGCCUGUGGGGCUUUGAUGGGAGCACAAGCACCAAGUGUCUGCUCCACAUGCUUUCUGACUGCAGCCUCUCCUUUAUUUGCAAGUCUCCCUGCCUUCUUCUUCUACACAUUGAGACCAGCUGCCUCAGAGUUGCUGCCCUACCUGAGCUUCGCUGUAGUGCACAUUGGACCUCUUGUCUUAAGCAUCUUGGCUUUUAUCUUCUGCGGAAGUACGUGGCUUUCUGCACUUGGCUGAACCAAGACCUGGGCUGGAGUCUGAAUUCUCCUUGGAAACCAUGAAGUUUGUCAGUCAGAACUCACAAGGUGUGGAUGGACUUUUGUGUGAGGUCUCUCUCUGUGGACAGAAGCUCCUUUGGCUUGCUGAAUCUUCAUAUACAGCAGCAGGGCUCCCUAGAGGCAUGGCUGCAUUGAAUGCAACGUUUAUCAGACUCUGACCCACAGGCAAUCCCCACAAAUGGGACUUUCGAGUGAAAUUUCACUUGUCCUUAGUGUGAUGUCUCCAUGAAGCGAAUUCAUUCUGGUGACAGGUAAACUGUAACUGCACAGCUAUAAAUAUUUCAUGUUGCUAUGUAAACCAUAACUACAUGCAGUAGUACAUGUCUUUCUUGCUACAGUGUUUAAUUACAUAAGUUUUGUGAGUAAUGCAACUGCAGAAAUUAAACCUACAACCAGUUUUGGCUGAGUGAACACUCCCUACUUACACUUUGUUCAGCAUAUUUGAAUUCUAUGCUUGCAGUUUGCAGAGGUUUCAACAGAAGCCUUUAGCAUUGAGGACAGAGCUGCAGAACAGGGAAUAAGCUACCUUGUUACCUUGCUUGUUCGGAGGAAAAGUCAUGGAGUUAUUGCUGAACAAUUGAUUCCUGUUUAUGCUAAAGCCUGAGAGUGGGAAAUGCACUUAAAUGGAACCAAAUAAAAACAUUAUAACAUUU